AUGAACGCUGGCGGCGUGCCUAAUACAUGCAAGUCGAACGAGUUCUGAUUAUUGAAAGGUGCUUGCAUCUUGAUUUAAUUUUGAACGAGUGGCGGACGGGUGAGUAACACGUGGGUAACCUGCCCUUAAGUGGGGGAUAACAUUUGGAAACAGAUGCUAAUACCGCAUAAAUCCAAGAACCGCAUGGUUCUUGGCUGAAAGAUGGCGUAAGCUAUCGCUUUUGGAUGGACCCGCGGCGUAUUAGCUAGUUGGUGAGGUAACGGCUCACCAAGGCAAUGAUACGUAGCCGAACUGAGAGGUUGAUCGGCCACAUUGGGACUGAGACACGGCCCAAACUCCUACGGGAGGCAGCAGUAGGGAAUCUUCCACAAUGGACGCAAGUCUGAUGGAGCAACGCCGCGUGAGUGAAGAAGGCUUUCGGGUCGUAAAACUCUGUUGUUGGAGAAGAAUGGUCGGCAGAGUAACUGUUGUCGGCGUGACGGUAUCCAACCAGAAAGCCACGGCUAACUACGUGCCAGCAGCCGCGGUAAUACGUAGGUGACAAGCGUUAUCCGGAUUUAUUGGGCGUAAAGCGAGCGCAGGCGGUUUUUUAAGUCUGAUGUGAAAGCCCUCGGCUUAACCGAGGAAGUGCAUCGGAAACUGGGAAACUUGAGUACAGAAGAGGACAGUGGAACUCCAUGUGUAGCGGUGAAAUGCGUAGAUAUAUGGAAGAACACCAGUGGCGAAGGCGGCUGUCUGGUCUGUAACUGACGCUGAGGCUCGAAAGCAUGGGUAGCGAACAGGAUUAGAUACCCUGGUAGUCCAUGCCGUAAACGAUGAAUGCUAGGUGUUGGAGGGUUUCCGCCCUUCAGUGCCGCAGCUAACGCAUUAAGCAUUCCGCCUGGGGAGUACGACCGCAAGGUUGAAACUCAAAGGAAUUGACGGGGGCCCGCACAAGCGGUGGAGCAUGUGGUUUAAUUCGAAGCAACGCGAAGAACCUUACCAGGUCUUGACAUCUUUUGAUCACCUGAGAGAUCAGGUUUCCCCUUCGGGGGCAAAAUGACAGGUGGUGCAUGGUUGUCGUCAGCUCGUGUCGUGAGAUGUUGGGUUAAGUCCCGCAACGAGCGCAACCCUUAUGACUAGUUGCCAGCAUUUAGUUGGGCACUCUAGUAAGACUGCCGGUGACAAACCGGAGGAAGGUGGGGAUGACGUCAAAUCAUCAUGCCCCUUAUGACCUGGGCUACACAUGUGCUACAAUGGAUGGUACAACGAGUUGCGAGACCGCGAGGUCAAGCUAAUCUCUUAAAGCCAUUCUCAGUUCGGACUGUAGGCUGCAACUCGCCUACACGAAGUCGGAAUCGCUAGUAAUCGCGGAUCAGCACGCCGCGGUGAAUACGUUCCCGGGCCUUGUACACACCGCCCGUCACACCAUGAGAGUUUGUAACACCCGAAGCCGGUGGCGUAACCCUUUUAGGGAGCGAGCCGUCUAAGGUGGGACAAAUGAUUAGGGUG
rnacentral:rRNA from 1 species